rnacentral:rRNA from 1 species
GAUGAACGCUGGCGGCGUGCCUAACACAUGCAAGUCGAACGGACGGACCAGAAGCUUGCUACUCUGAUGUUGACGGCGGACGGGAGAGUAAAACGUCCAUACCCUACCUAUAAGACUGGGUUAACUUCGUGAAACCGGUGCUGGUAAGGAAUCAUAUCUUCAUCCGGAUGGUUCAAAAGUUACAGCGGGUUUUGCUGUCCCUUCUAGAUAUCACCGUGUUGCUUUGGCUGGUUGGUAGGGUAACGGCUUCCCAAGGCCACGCUGCAUGGCCGACCGGAGAGGGUGAACGGCCACACUGGAACUGAGCCGCGGUCCAGACUCCUACGGGAGGCAGAGGUGGGGAAUCGUGGGCAAUGGGCGAAAGCCUGACGGAGCAACGCCGCGUGGGUGAUGAAGGUCUUCGGGUCGUAAAACGCUGUUAUUAGGGAAGAACACAUGUGGAAGGAACUGUGCAUGUCGUGACGGUACCUAAUCAGAAAGCAACGGCUAACUACGUG